CAGCACCUCAAGUGGUCAGGAUGAUUAUUGGGCCUAAAGCAUCCGUAGCCGGCGCUGUAAGUUUUCGGUUAAAUCUGUACGCUCAACGUACAGGCUGCCGGGAAUACUGCAGCGCUAGGGAGUGGGAGAGGUAGACGGUACUCGGUAGGAGGGGGUAAAAUCCUUUGAUCUAUUGAUGACCACCUGUGGCGAAGGCGGUCUACCAGAACACGUCCGACGGUGAGGGAUGAAAGCUGGGGGAGCAAACCGGAUUAGAUACCCGCGUAGUCC
rnacentral:rRNA from 1 species